UACGAAGGGGGCUAGCGUUGCUCGGAAUCACUGGGCGUAAAGGGUGCGUAGGCGGGUCUUUAAGUCAGGGGUGAAAUCCUGGAGCUCAACUCCAGAACUGCCUUUGAUACUGGACGUCUGGAGAUCGGGAGAGGUUGGUGGAAUUCCGAGUGUAGAGGUGAAAUUCGUAGAUAUUCGGAAGAACACCAGUGGCGAAGGCGACUCACUGGACACAUAUUGACGCUGAGGUGCGAAAGCGUGGGGAGCAAACAGG
rnacentral:rRNA from 1 species